UUAGAAACUGAUUUUACCUAAUCUAUCCGAUCGUUCUCCAGAUCUAAUUCUUUUCUCCUCUUCUAUUUCCUUAGAAAAACUGAUUUAACCUAAUCUAUCUGAUUGUUCUACAAAGCCAAAUUUCUGUUUUAAGUUUUUGAUAAUUGAUUUUUGAUUUUGCAACCACCAGUGAGGAAAUUAUUUUGUGUGUUUGUGAUAUCUAAUUAAUUCAAAUUUUUGAUGAAACAGAGUGAAGGUUCAGUCGUAGUCGCCGCCGCCGCCGACAAAGAUGCAGUUACAGUCACAGUCGCCGCUCCGCCGCCGCCGCCGCCGCAGCAGCAAAUGGAAGUAGGUCCUCAGCAUGUCGUGGUGUGCCGGAUUCCUCACCCUGUUCAGAAACUCUCUUUGCAUUCAAUGCAGCUAACCUCAAAAGAAAUUUGAACAAACUGUGUUAGGGAAAAAGAGUGCCGAUCCGAAGGGGUACCCGUUCCCAUUCAUCAACCGCCGUCGGAAACCCUAAAAAUUGUGGAAUCUUCCCGCUGGUAAUCAAAGCGCCGAUCCGAAGUCUACACUAAUUUUACCGAAGAAACAAUUGAAUUAUGUAGAUGUUUCUAACUUUUCGUGGAAUGAGAAAAGGACGGGACAAGGAGAAUCAUCCAUUCUUAGUAGAUCCUACCUGUACCCUUUGAGUGGGGAUACUGAUUCUGCAGGUUCUGAGCAGUAAAAUCAUCAGUGUAUCUGAAGAUAUAAAGACUGGAUGUACGAUUGUGCUGUCAAAAUAUCUAGUGGAAAUUGGCGAGCCACAUAAUCCCAAGAUAUUACUGCUUUCAGUGACCGCCAUGCUGGGUAUUAGGUGAUUCAGUUGACAAUGUGAUACCCGACUCUUCUAAUUCAUGUUCAAAUCUUUCUGAUUAAAUUUGAGGUGCUCAUUUCACUUGAAUUUAAAUGCACAUACUUAAUUCUAUAAACAGUAGCAACACUACACCAAAAGUUUGGUGCUCUGGUAGAUUCUUUUAAGGGGAAGCCUCCAGAUUGGCAGGAUUUUGUUGGAAUUAUUACUUUGCUGUUGAUCUACUCGACUAUUGGUUUUAUUGAGGAAAACAAUGCUGGUUACGCGGCUGCUGCUCUCAUGGCUAGUCUUGCUCCGAAAGCUAAGGUUCUUCGAGAUGGAAGGUGGAAUGAGCAGGGUGUCGCGGUUUUAGUUCCUAGUGACAUUGAUAUGAUGUUGCUAAGGAUAAAUGGAGAAUCGGAGAAGGCUAUGGACCAAAGACUACAAGAUAUGAAGCAUGUUUAUUUUUUAUAAAUUUAGACAAGACACUGUAUUAAUUUCUACUUCAACUUACACAUUACAGUUAAGGGUAUGAAUUAAGUAGAAGUUUCAUUGAGGGUGGGAAAUAGACAUUAAAAUUGCAAGUUUAUGUAAUUCUUUUUAUUAUUGAUAUUUUACCUUUUAAGCAUUGUAUAUUGAUUAUGAUUUUGAAAUAAAUUAAUUAUAUUCAGUAA